GGUUAUGGCUCAGAGGUAGAGCACUCGCCUACCAUGCGUGAAGCACUGGGUUCAAUUCUCAGCACCA
rnacentral:tRNA from 1 species